GAACGGCCGUGCGCUUUGUACACAUUGCCGCGGCCAGCAUGGGCGUCGCCGCCUCGGACUCCCGGGAGGCGCCAGGCCCUGCUGAGCCCUGCGGGCUGAGGCUGCGCGAGGGCGGGGAGGGGCGGAGCCGCCGAGCCCAGCAAAUCCUCCGCAGAGCAGGGCGGCGCCGGGUAGGCUCCGGGAAUCUGCGUGGGCUCCGAGCCAGGGCGCCCUGCCCUUGUUCAAGGAUUUGUCAACCCAUGUACCCUGCUUGCUGUGGCCACUUGUCUUUCUUCAGCGGUAUCCUGUCUCUGUUCCUGGAAGCUCUGUUGAUAGGUGACAGUAAGCAGAUGUCUGGCCACAGGAGAGGCUACAUGUGCCUCUGA
rnacentral:lncRNA from 1 species